rnacentral:lncRNA from 1 species
AUAGUAUAUUAAUUAUUAUAUAUUUAUUAUACAGUCGAAUUUUUUAUUCCGAAUUUUUAAUUGGUGAACGUAUAAUAUCCGUAUAAAUCACGUAUCCGAAUAAUUACCGAAUUCGUUUUUUAGCCGUAUUUUUCAACAAAUUUAAAAAUUAAGAGACGAAUUUUAUUCGAAUUAUAUCCGUACCGAAUUUUUGCCGAAUCCGAAUUAACUAACUAUGAGUGGCGUAAAGCCGGAUGGAUCGAGUCACAAUCGAAAUUCGUGGGCGCUGUAUCUGUACACUUUAAGUGAAUUGGUUGCAUAUUUCUAAUAGCUCGAGCUUUUGGGAUUAAUGGUUAGCGCCAAUGAUCAGACAAGUGGUAUUAGAGCCAAUGGUCACGGAUUCGAUUUCCGCAUGCUGCAAAUGUGUGCAGGUGCUGAAGACGGGAUUGUUGGCUUAAAUGAACCAGCAUUCUGUCCUGUGACGGAAGGCCAUGUGUAGGCCGAAUCAUAUUCGAAGUGGCGUAAGACCGAAUGGGCCGAGUCACAAUCGAGACUCAUGGGCGCUGUAUCU